CGUGUAGGCGGCAGUAUAAGUCCGGAGUGAAAGUCCUGCUUUCAAGGUGGGAAUUGCUUUGGAGACUGUACAGCUUGAGUGCGGAAGAGGUAAGUGGAAUUCCCAGUGUAGCGGUGAAAUGCGUAGAGAUUGGGAGGAACACCAGUGGCGAAGGCGACUUACUGGCCGUAACUGACGCUGAGGCGCGAAAGCGUGGGGAGCGAACA
rnacentral:rRNA from 1 species